GAGUUUGAUCCUGGCUCAGAGCGAACGUUAGCGGCGGGCCUAACACAUGCAAGUCGAGCGAGAAAGAGGCUUCGGCCUUGAGUAAAGCGGCGGACGGGUGAGUAACACGUAGGUAAUCUUCCCUUGAGCGGGGGACAACAAGCCGAAAGGCUUGCUAAUACCGCAUAAGUUCUAAGAGACCCCGGUCUUUUAGAGGAAAGCUAGGCAGCAAUGUCCGGCACUCGAGGAGGAGCCUGUGUCGCAUCAGCUAGUUGGUGGGGUAACGGCCUACCAAGGCGAAGACGCGUAGCUGGUCUGAGAGGAUGAUCAGCCACACUGGGACUGAGACACGGCCCAGACUCCUACGGGAGGCAGCAGUGGGGAAUAUUGGACAAUGGGCGCAAGCCUGAUCCAGCCACGCCGCGUGAGUGAUGAAGGCC
rnacentral:rRNA from 1 species